UCUAAUGUGGCAGAAUAGUGCGAUGAAUUUAAGAUUCAUAUAUAAAUUUAAUUUUCUUUAGAU
rnacentral:tRNA from 1 species